CAAAAACAAUGCCCUGCCACCUUUAUUAGUUGUAAAAUCUCCCUGUGCUUGCGGUUACAUCUCUAUGCACCAAAGAAACGAUCUCAUUAACAAACUAGUUCUGUGCGUCCUUAACACUGAGGGCCCUCGCCUGCAGCUGGAGGCAGCUCUCUGCUCAGCCCGCAGUGCAGAGUGCACAAGCAGGCGACAUUGUCACCGAGCACUAACUUCUGCUGCACCAAGGAAGACGGAGAAAACCAGUUCAGAAUCGUGGCAAGGCAUGAGAGAGGCAAAGGGGUAGCUGCAAAGUUUUGGACAAGACCUCUGCAGACAACUGGAAGCACAGUGUACCCAGGUGGUGGGUCUCGUCUGUGGCAAUAUAUUUUUCUGUCUGUCCAAUUGAAUAUGGCUGUAAAGGGAAUAAAACCCCAUAUAAUCUCCAGCAGUGACAAUUUAAUCAGUUGGAUGAGGGGGGGAAAGAAGCGGGGUCCUCUAAUUUUCAUAUUUGCAUAUUUGAUUUUUGCAUUAGGGAAUAGAGGUUAUGGCUUUCUAUUAUUUCUCAAUCUGUUUUAAUAUUUAACACUUUUAUGAGGAACUUUUUGCUGUGGUAGGAGAUAUCAACUCAAACUGGUCUAAAAGAGAAAGGAAAAAUGCCAUUUCUUAAAUAAAACACUUGAUACAGCAUGCAUUGUGUAACAAUUUUCCCUACAAAGAAUGUAUGUGCCAAACAUGGCUUGUGUGCUCCCAGCUUCCGCACGUGAUGCAUCCAUUAAGAUUCAGAGAUCCACCCUGAGAAUGAAGGCAAAUGUUUGGAGAACAAUGCAAAAUCAUGAAGAAUAUACCAAAAUAUACCCCCAUUUUCUGCUAAUAUUUCUUAAAAGGAUGACUAUUAUUAGCUGUAGCUAUUUCUAAGGAAGUAGGGAUUCUAAAAUACUUUAUAUAUGCACAGGUUUUUUUUAUGAGGUUGUAUAGGAGCAAUAAAUACAGUGAAAUAAAAAUAAAAAGAAACUUCUUUGCUUUUACAGUUGACAGAAU
rnacentral:lncRNA from 1 species